ACCACAAGCAAACACUUAACAACCCCUCCCUCAUCAUGACACAUCUGUUCUUGGGUUGGCAACCCAGUCAAAUGAGUCUUCAUUUCAUCUGUUGCUUUGGUGUAACAGUAAGAAGCAUGACCAGUGUGAUUAUUAUAACCAUAAUACCUACUUUCUGGUUAACUGUUUGUGUUGUCUCUUCUCCCAUCAUACAGCAGUCUCCUGAACAUCUUCUUGUGACAGUAGAUCAGAAAGAGGCAAUGCUACAUUGUCGUCAUGGUGAUAACGACUAUCCAUACAUGUACUGGUAUCAGCAGAACAGCAGCGGUGGUUCUUUGGAGCUUAUUGGAAUGCUCCAGUAUUCAGAACCCACACAUUUGAAAACAAGGUUCAGCAUCAAAGGACAUGCUAAAGAGGAUGCAUUUCUAUCCAUAUUCAACAUAUCUAGUGAGGAUAGAGCAGUGUAUUACUGUGCAGCAAGUCGACACAGUCGUACAGUUUUCCAUAACCCUUGA